rnacentral:rRNA from 1 species
GAAUGCUGACAUAAGUAACGAUAAAGCGGGUGAAAAGCCCGCUCGCCGGAAGACCAAGGGUUCCUGUCCAACGUUAAUCGGGGCAGGGUGAGUCGACCCCUAAGGCGAGGCCGAAAGGCGUAGUCGAUGGGAAACAGGUUAAUAUUCCUGUACUUGGUGUUACUGCGAAGGGGGGACGGAGAAGGCUAUGUUGGCCGGGCGACGGUUGUCCCGGUUUAAGCGUGUAGGCUGGUUUUCCAGGCAAAUCCGGAAAACCAAGGCUGAGGCGUGAUGACGAGGCACUACGGUGCUGAAGCGACAAAUGCCCUGCUUCCAGGAAAAGCCUCUAAGCAUCAGGUAACAUCAAAUCGUACCCCAAACCGACACAGGUGGUCAGGUAGAGAAUACCAAGGCGCUUGAGAGAACUCGGGUGAAGGAACUAGGCAAAAUGGUGCCGUAACUUCGGGAGAAGG